rnacentral:rRNA from 1 species
GACGAACGCUGGCGGCGUGCCUAAUACAUGCAAGUAGAACGCUGAAGAGAGGAGCUUACUCUUCUUGGAUGAGUUGCGAACGGGUGAGUAACGCGUAGGUAACCUGCCUUGUAGCGGGGGAUAACUAUUGGAAACGAUAGCUAAUACCGCAUAACAAUGGAUGACACAUGUCAUUUAUUUGAAAGGGGCAAUUGCUCCACUACAAGAUGGACCUGCGUUGUAUUAGCUAGUAGGUGAGGUAAUGGCUCACCUAGGCAACGAUACAUAGCCGACCUGAGAGGGUGAUCGGCCACACUGGGACUGAGACACGGCCCAGACUCCUACGGGAGGCAGCAGUAGGGAAUCUUCGGCAAUGGGGGCAACCCUGACCGAGCAACGCCGCGUGAGUGAAGAAGGUUUUCGGAUCGUAAAGCUCUGUUGUAAGUCAAGAACGGGUGUGAGAGUGGAAAGUUCACACUGUGACGGUAGCUUACCAGAAAGGGACGGCUAACUACGUG